rnacentral:misc_RNA from 1 species
GAUGAAGAACGUAGUGAAAUGCGAUAAUUAAUGUGAAUUGCAGAAUUCAGUGAAUCAUCGAGUCUUUGAACGCACAUUGCGCCCCCUGGUAUUCCGGGGGGCAUGCCUGUCCGAGCGUCAUUGCUGCCCUCAAGCACGGCUUGUGUGUUGGGCUUCCGUCCCUGGCAACGGGGACGGGCCCAAAAGGCAGUGGCGGCACCAUGUCUGGUCCUCGAGCGUAUGGGGCUUUGUCACCCGCUCCCGUAGGUCCAGCUGGCAGCUAGCCUCGCAACCAAUCUUUUUAACCAGGUUGACCUCGGAUCAGGUAGGGAUACCCGCUGAACUUAAGCAUAUCAAAAGCGGAGGA